rnacentral:rRNA from 1 species
GACGAACGCUGGCGGCGUGCUUAACACAUGCAAGUCGAACGGAAAGGCCCUGCUUUUGUGGGGUGCUCGAGUGGCGAACGGGUGAGUAACACGUGAGUAACCUGCCCUUGACUUUGGGAUAACUUCAGGAAACUGGGGCUAAUACCGGAUAGGAGCUCCUGCUGCAUGGUGGGGGUUGGAAAGUUUCGGCGGUUGGGGAUGGACUCGCGGCUUAUCAGCUUGUUGGUGGGGUAGUGGCUUACCAAGGCUUUGACGGGUAGCCGGCCUGAGAGGGUGACCGGCCACAUUGGGCCUGAGAUACGGCCCAGACUCCUACGGGAGGCAGCAGUGGGGAAUAUUGCGCAAUGGGCGGAAGCCUGAUGCAGCAACGCCGCGUGCGGGAUGACGGCCUUCGGGUUGUAAACCGCUUUCGCCUGUGACGAAGCGUGAGUGACGGUAAUGGGUAAAGAAGCACCGGCUAACUACGUG